UACUAAUUCCUUUUUUUAAAACUAUUGCCUUCUCAACAUGAAUUGUUAUGCAUCUGAAUCAUAUAUGAAGCUGGGAGGUUUAGUUUGAAGUACUCUUGAGCUUAUUCUUCUAGAAGCUGUGGAUGUUGAAGAAAAGGCAAACAAUUAUCUAAAGGAA